rnacentral:rRNA from 1 species
GGUGAACGCUGGCGGCGUGGAUGAGGCAUGCAAGUCGAAUGGGUUUAGACCCAUGGCAGACGAGGUAGGAACACGUAGGUACAUACCGAGAAGUCAGGGAUAACCUGGAGAAAUCCAGAAUAAUACUUGAUAGUCCCUUCGGGGUAAAGAUUUAUCGCUUCUUGAAUGGCCUGCGGUCUAUCAGCUUGAUGGUAAGGUAACGGCUUACCAUGGCUACGACGGAUAGGGGAGGUGAGAGCCUGGCCCCCACCGAUGGAACUGCGACACGGUCCAUACUCCUACGGGAGGCCGCAGUCGAGAAUCUUCCGCAAUGGACGAAAGUCUGACGGAGCGACGCCGCGUGGUGGAUGAAGCCCUUAGGGGCGUAAACACCUUUUAUGAGUGAAGAAGUUUAUUGACAUUAACUCAUGAAUAAGGGGCUCCCAAUUCUG